GAUGAACGCUAGCGGCAGGCUUAACACAUGCAAGUCGUGGGGCAGCGCGAGGUAGCAAUACUUUGGCGGCGACCGGCAAACGGGUGCGGAACACGUACGCAACCUUCCUCAGAGCGGGGAAUAGCCUCUCGAAAGAGAGAUUAAUACCCCAUAGGUAUCUCGAAACUGCAUGGUUUUGAGAUUAAAGCUUCGGCACUUUGAGAUGGGCGUGCGGCUGAUUAGGUAGUUGGUAGGGUAACGGCCUACCAAGCCAACGAUCAGUAGCUGAUGUGAGAGCAUGAUCAGCCACACGGGCACUGAGACACGGGCCCGACUCCUACGGGAGCAGCAGUGAGGAAUAUUGGUCAAUGGAGGAAACUCUGAACCAGCCAUGCCGCGUGAAGGAUGAAGGUCCUCUGGAUUGUAAACUUCUUUAUAGAAGAAGAACCCCAUUAUCUUAAUGGGUUGACGGUACUCUAUGAAUAAGCACCGGCUAACUCCGUG
rnacentral:rRNA from 1 species